rnacentral:rRNA from 5 species
AUCCGAAAGACUCUCGGCAACGGAUAUCUCGGCUCUUGCAUCGAUGAAGAACGUAGCGAAAUGCGAUACUUGGUGUGAAUUGCAGAAUCCCGUGAACCAUCGAGUCUUUGAACGCAAGUUGCGCCCGAAGCCAUUAGGCUGAGGGCACGCCUGCCUGGGUGUCGCCC